UUGGGCUACAGGUUAUUAGGUAGGAGGAGAAUCGAAUGGUUUGAGUUGUAAAUUGUAAGGAGGAAGAUGCAUUUCGGGUUCAUCUAUGGAAGAUGAUGGGAUUGAGAUAUGGGCGCUGCGAUUUGUGGCUAUAGGGAUCGGUUGUAGCUGUUGAUUUGUGGCUGAAGGGUCCGAUCGAUUGAGGCUGGAGCUAUGCAGAAGGCUCGGAUUUGAUGGAUCGGGUCGUGGAUCGAGUCGACAAGGUGAAGAGUCGGAGUUGAGGCUGGUUAUGGGAAGAUCAGUCGCAGCUGGGUCUAGGGCUGGCUUCGGUUUAGAGCAGAGAAGGUCGGAAGUUGCAGAGAGGGUGUUGCAGCUUGAGGUCGGCACAAUGGGGUAAAUUGGAAGUCACGGGUAGAGGCUUUGUGUGCGGAAGGGAAUUCGGGUUGAGAGGAAAACCCAAAAUCUACUUCAGAACCAACAUUCUUAAUGCUGCAUAUAUUACAUGGACAGUGAACAGCUAAUGCAAAUAGAUGAUUAGCAGCUAUGCAACUGAUGUGUUCACUGAAAUUUUUAUCAACAUUAGGGUCAUUGUGAGAAGUCAAUACCAGGUUCCAUCGUAUGGUUUUAUAUAUUUACUUAGCAACUUGCGUGCUAUGCUACCUAGCUUAAUAUUUUUUUUCUAGUAUUUACCUACUGGUUUAAAUGCUAUUGGCAAUAUUUUUUUUCACAUUAUUGGAUGAAUUUAUCUUAAAAUGUUAUUGGCUACUAAAAAUUCACUGUUGCAGCUAUCCA